rnacentral:rRNA from 1 species
UACGUAGGGUGCGAGCGUUAAUCGGAAUUACUGGGCGUAAAGCGUGCGCAGGCGGUUCGUUAAGUCAGAUGUGAAAGCCCCGGGCUCAACCUGGGAACUGCAUUUGAAACUGGCGGGCUUGAGUGUGGCAGAGGGGGGUGGAAUUCCGCAUGUAGUGGUGAAAUGCGUAGAUAUGCGGAGGAACACCAGUGGCGAAGGCGGCCUCCUGGUACACUCCUGACACUCAAACGCGAAAGCUAGGGGAGCGAACGGG